UACGGGGGGGGCAAGCGUUGUUCGGAAUUACUGGGCGUAAAGGGUCUGUAGGUGGCCAACUAAGUCAGACGUGAAAUCCCUCAGCUUAACUGGGGAACUGCGUCUGAUACUGGAUGGCUUGAGUGUGGGAGAGGAAUGCGGAAUUCCAGGUGUAGCGGUGAAAUGCGCAGAUAUCAGGAGGAACACCGGUGGCGAAGGCGGGUCUCUGGGCCGAUACUGACGCUGAGGAGCGAAAGCGUGGGGAGCGAACAGG
rnacentral:rRNA from 1 species